rnacentral:tRNA from 1 species
GGGCGGUUAGCUCAGUUGGUAUGAGCGCGGCAUUGACAUUGCCGAGGUCAUAGGUUCGAUCCCUAUACCGCCCA